UACGAAGGGGGCUAGCGUUGCUCGGAAUCACUGGGCGUAAAGGGUGCGUAGGCGGGUCUUUAAGUCAGGGGUGAAAUCCUGGAGCUCAACUCCGGAACUGCCUUUGAUACUGAGGAUCUUGAGUUCGGGAGAGGUGAGUGGAACUGCGAGUGUAGAGGUGAAAUUCGUAGAUAUCUGGAGGAACACCGGUGGCGAAGGCGGCGUCCUGGACCAACACUGACACUGAUGAGCGAAAGCCAGGGGGGCAAACGGG
rnacentral:rRNA from 1 species